rnacentral:sRNA from 1 species
UAACACUAUUAGUGGGUAAUUUGGAUGGGGUAAGCCUAUGGUUAGUCCCUUACACGGGGCAAGGCCACGACGGCCGGUUGGUAGGCCAAGGGGGCAAUGGGCCGAGAUUGGCAACUGGAAGCUCUGGGCUAUGGUGAUGCCUAGGGUGGGCAGUGGCGCUUAACUAGGACCCCCGCUGGAAACCCCAGAACUAGUUAAAGCGGCCCGAGAGGACGGACGCGGUGGUCGGUUGGUUAUAGGGGUUAUAUGUAACUAGCUUAAGGUGCAUCCUGCGUGGAAUAGCCACGUAGUUAGAAAUGAUUUAGAUGACUUAUGUUCAGAUUGUCAGUUAUAUGAAAACCCAG